rnacentral:rRNA from 1 species
GAUGAACGCUGGCGGCGUGCCUAAUACAUGCAAGUCGAGCGAACAGACGAGGAGCUUGCUCCUCUGACGUUAGCGGCGGACGGGUGAGUAACACGUGGAUAACCUACCUAUAAGACUGGGAUAACUUCGGGAAACCGGAGCUAAUACCGGAUAAUAUAUUGAACCGCAUGGUUCAAUAGUGAAAGACGGUUUUGCUGUCACUUCUAGAUGGAUCCGCGCCGCAUUAGCUAGUUGGUAAGGUAACGGCUUACCAAGGCGACGAUGCGUAGCCGACCUGAGAGGGUGAUCGGCCACACUGGAACUGGGACACGGUCCAGACUCCUACGGGAGGCAGCAGUAGGGAAUCUUCCGCAAUGGGCGAAAGCCUGACGGAGCAACGCCGCGUGAGUGAUGAAGGUCUUCGGAUCGUAAAACUCUGUUAUUAGGGAAGAACAAAUGUGUAAGUAACUAUGCACGUCUUGACGGUACCUAAUCAGAAAGCCACGGCUAACUACGUG